GACAGAGGUGCCAAGCGUUAGGCGGAAUCACUGGGCUUAAAGCGUGUGUAGGCGGGUGCCUAAGUACCUUGUGAAAUCCCACGGCUCAACCGUGGAACGGCUCGGGAUACUGGGCGUCUUGAGCCACCUAGGGGCGAGCGGAACAAACGGUGGAGCGGUGGAAUGCGUAGAUAUCGUUUGGAACGCCAAUGGUGAAAACAGCUCGCUGGGGGUGUGCUGACGCUGAGACACGAAAGCCAGGGGAGCGAACGGG
rnacentral:rRNA from 1 species